rnacentral:rRNA from 1 species
UACGUAGGUCCCGAGCGUUGUCCGGAUUUAUUGGGCGUAAAGCGAGCGCAGGUGGUUUAUUAAGUCUGGUGUAAAAGGCAGUGGCUCAACCAUUGUAUGCAUUGGAAACUGGUAGACUUGAGUGCAGGAGAGGAGAGUGGAAUUCCAUGUGUAGCGGUGAAAUGCGUAGAUAUAUGGAGGAACACCGGUGGCGAAAGCGGCUCUCUGGCCUGCAACUGACGUUGAGGCCCGAAAGCGUGGGGAGCAAACAGG